UCCGGUGUGGCCGAAUGGCAAGGCGCUGCACUGUUAAUGCAGACGAUGGAGGUUCGAGUCCUCCCGCCGGAG
rnacentral:tRNA from 1 species